UCCAUUGUGCGCGCUCCGAAGAUCAUUC
rnacentral:sRNA from 1 species